GACGAACGCUGGCGGCGUGCUUAACACAUGCAAGUCGAACGGAAAGGCCCUGCUUUUGUGGGGUGCUCGAGUGGCGAACGGGUGAGUAACACGUGAGUAACCUGCCCUUGACUUUGGGAUAACUUCAGGAAACUGGGGCUAAUACCGGAUAGGAGCUCCUGCUGCAUGGUGGGGGUUGGAAAGUUUCGGCGGUUGGGGAUGGACUCGCGGCUUAUCAGCUUGUUGGUGGGGUAGUGGCUUACCAAGGCUUUGACGGGUAGCCGGCCUGAGAGGGUGACCGGCCACAUGGGGACUGAGAGACGGCCCAGACUCCUACGGGAGGCAGCAGUGGGGAAUAUUGCACAAUGGGCGGGAGCCUGAUGCGGCAACGCCGCGUGCGGGAUGACGGCCUUCGGGUUGUAAACCGCUUUCGCCUGUGACGAAGCGUGAGUGACGGUAAUGGGUAAAGAAGCACCGGCUAACUACGUG
rnacentral:rRNA from 1 species